GCCCACAUCAACAAACUCGUUUCUCACGGCGGUGUUCUGAUGACAGAAAUUCAUUCUCUUUCUUUCUGCGCGCAGCCCGACCCGACCAGGCCAUCAUAUUCAAAACUGACGACGACGUCGGUCGACUUUUUUCUCUUUGCCUUUGUGUCUGUCUAGUCUAGGGUUUCAAACAAAAAACCAACCACCACAACACUAGCCACCCAGGAUGAAUAAUAGCAACGUCAACGGCGCUGCAAAGCAGCGAGACAAAUACAUCGUUGUAUUUGAGAAAGACGAUGAAGACAUCAUAUGAUACCAGAAGAAAAAUUCUUGUCCUUCCGUAGGCCCUUCUGUAGAUCCGAUGCAACAUAUGUGCAAGAAUCUUGGCCCGCGUUCGAAUCCGCUUUAAAAGAGUAUGGCAUUGCAUGUGCACUGAAUCGGUCAGAAAUGGUGUUUACAAGAUAAGACAUCUUCAUUUACUUCUGUCAGUCAGAGUUCCUAUUCAUCAGGCACUAAGGAUACUGAAAGGUCCAUAUGACAUCAUCCGCACAGGGCAUCAUGUUAAUGGGAUUUGCACAAAAUACAGGAUCA